GCUGGGCAUGGUAGCGCAUGCCUGUAGUCCUAGCUACUUGGGAGGCUAAGGCAGGAGAAUCGCUUGAACCCAGGAGGCGGAGGUUGCAGUGAGCUGA
rnacentral:SRP_RNA from 14 species